AUGUUUUGAAAGUUCAAUGUUCAAUCAUAAAUAUUAGACCAAAUUCUGUGUUAAGUGUAGAAUGAUAUAUGACAUUUCAACCAAUAGCUUAAAUUCAGAAAACGAUGUUGGAUACAGUAGUAGUUUUAUGUCAUUGUUGCGGAGGUACUCAAUCACCUGUUGAGCGUAUUGACAGGGAUACCAAAUGAUUCAGCGCACAGGGAGGAUAUAAGAACAGGCAUUGCACAGCCAGGACAACUACCACUCCCUCAACUUCAACAAAACAAUGGAGAUCAUUGUCGACUGGCUAUAUCACAACCUGGUGUAGGGACAGCACCACAUAUAACCACAAGGUCCGACAGUGGAUAGUUAAGAUGGCUCAGUAUAGCAUUGUUGCCCAACUCUUACACAUCCAUAACAUCUAUCAGAAGCAAUUCCCGGUGAAAGUUUGCAAUAAUAAUCGAGGACAACACAAACCCGAGCUAAGCACUACUGAUCCCCUUAACAUUGGAUAUUGGUCUGUAUCGAAGCAUGAUGUUUCGUACCAGGCUCCAAAUCAGCUUCUGUUCUCAAGUUCAGUAUUUGGACUGGAAGUACAUUUCCUGAAAAUGUAUAUAUUUGUCUAUGGAGUGUGAAGAAAAUGUUUCUGCACAACACAUUACACACAGGUUAACACAUUUUGCAAUAGGGCAGAGUAAAAUCAUUACUGCAAAUAUACUACAACAUUAUAUAUUUUGUCAUUGGGUGGAGAGAAUAAAAUACAUUUCAUACAAUUCUGAAGAUUUUGACAUAGCCCAUAGCAUACAUUUCCUCUUUUAGAGCAAAUGUCUUGCAACUUACAUGUUUUGCGAUGGGAUAAUUUAUGAACAAACAUUUCUCUCCUCAGCAUUGUAGUCACCAGUGCAGGAUAGAUAGACAGCAUUAUAAACAGGGUAGCUUGAAUCCUGAAUGCUGAUUGAUGGAAAACAUUGGUGAUGAGCCUGUAUACCACAGGCGAAACUGGAGCAUCUGGAACAUGUUCCUCUUCUACACCACACUCCUCUACUUGUUUCUUGUCACCUAUUCAGAGAAACAAGGGGAUUUUGGAAGACUUACUGCCUGUAUCACUGAAGAGAAGAAUCUCAGGUUGGAAUGUCGCUACCCAGCGUGUCCUGGAUCACCUCCCUUUCAAUGUGACUUCUUCAAUACAGAGGACAAGGCCUUGUUGGGUAGCUCUUACAAAAACUUUCCCAAGAGAAAUGACUCAAUCUUUAAAGUUUUUUCAAAGGGUCGUUGUCGGCUUAUUCUCAUUGGCCAUGCCAAAACUCAUAUAAAUGAAACAAAGAGUUAUAACUGUACUCUGAUACGGAGACAAAGAAAGGAGAACAAAAACAUUAUCAUAAACUACAAGAUCCUCCACAAAAAACAAAACAUCAAAGCUUGCUCUACGAUGGGGUUAAUAUUGCACCAAGAUCCCCCCCUGCUGUGGCCUAUGUUCCUAUGCAUGUCACUUUCGAAGAUCUUCUCCUGAACAACCUAUUCUCACAAGCUGAUGUUUGUCUAAAUGACCGCACACUUCAUGGUAUGACAAUAUGAAAUUGAAAUAUCUAAGCCUUUCUUCAAUUCAAAAUAAAACCUUUGAUAUUUUGAAUUAUUUUAUAUUCCUUACAUUUCUGUAAAUGUCGCAAUUUGAAUGCCUCAUGCUAACAACUGACAACUUUUGACACUUCAAUCAAUCCAAUAGCAACAGGAAAUUAGUAACAAAUUAAAUUAACAAAUUUAGCACAAAAAUUAUUAUUAAGUUACAUUUAAUUGUAUAAAAGUCCCUACAUUGCAGUCCAAACACAUUCUUGUUUAGAAUUGUAUUUAGGUAAACAGUCUUGAAGGGGUAAUCCACCAAAAAUACAAAUUCCUGAAAUAAGACAACAAUAUAUGUUUGGAAAUUUUUAGCAUUUUGUAGUUAUAAUAAAUCAGCAAACAACCUCUGAUAUUUGCAAAUUCCACAAUACAAUGCUCUCCCCAAACAAGGUGUGUGGCUAGAUUUAUAAAGUCGCUAGGAAAUGUUAAGAGAAAAGUCAAUGUCAGCAUUUGAAGUAAAUUUACUGCACUAUCAACUUAGCAGUUAAAAACAUGACACAUUUUUAGCUGAAAAUGUGAUGGUUAUCACCUUUUUUCAGCACCAUCCAAUUGUAAAAUACAACUCCAUGUUCUUUUUCUUGUCUGUCUACUGACCACUGAUGCAUUCCACAGUCAGGGCUAACAGUGCAGAACAGUAGCGAGAUGUAGCUUCUGAACAGAUCAUUGAUUAAAAAUGAAUCAAGCAAGCCAAAUAUCCCUGAUGCUCCUUAGUUACCCCAAGCAAAAGCAACUAAUUACAAUAGCCUCUCUCUACUUGUGUGUUGCUUGAACAGACUGGGUCUCAACACGACCAUCAACAACAACCACAAAAAUCCUAUAAAUUAGGAGUAUGAAGAUGACAGCAUGACAAAUUGCUAGUUAUCUGAAACAAAUUAUGUUAUUUUAUGUUUUUUGGGAGGAUAAUAAUUUUUGCAUCCAUCAGCUUUAUUACUUCACUUGCAGUUAGAUUGAGGAAGUAUAGAGAAAGGGGUAUCCACUCUAUCCACAACCAAAGAUUCUGUAGUGGCAGAGGUACAACAGAUAUGUACCAGAAUGGCAUUUGGGUUUUUUUGCAUGUCAAAAAUAACACUACAUAACUCCUAAAAUAAGCAUUUGAAAUGUCAAAUAACCAAAAUAUGUUACUGGAUGUUUGGAGCAUUGAAUAUGGGAUAGCUUGUUAGCUAACAUUUUAUUUCAAUAGAAGAACAAGUGACACAUGGACUACUAAAUCUUUACUAACAAUAUUGAAAAUGUCUUAUGUUUAUUGUCAUUAUUAGCUCUGUGCUUGGCGGGCACCAAUGCUUUUGGCCUCUAGAUAAUGACCAGAAACUGAGAAAGAGUGAGUGCAAGUGUGCAUGUGUGUUUAAACUUAAAGAACACUGCUCAGAGGAACUAGGCCUACCUUAUCAUUGGACGCAUGAAAUGCUUUAUAGUAAACUUUUGUUUGUUCUAAAUAAAU